UCGCUACUACCGAUUGAAUGGCUCGGUGAGGCCUUCGGACUGGCCCAGGGAGGUCGGCAACGACCACCCAGGGCCGGAAAGUUGGUCAAACCCGGUCAUUUAGAGGAAGUAAAAGUCGUAACAAGGUCUCCGUAGGUGAACCUGCGGAGGGAUCAUUACAAGAACGCCCGGGCUUCGGCCUGGUUAUUCAUAACCCUUUGUUGUCCGACUCUGUUGCCUCCGGGGCGACCCUGCCUUCGGGCGGGGGCUCCGGGUGGACACUUCAAACUCUUGCGUAACUUUGCAGUCUGAGUAAACUUAAUUAAUAAAUUAAAACUUUUAACAACGGAUCUCUUGGUUCUGGCAUCGAUGAAGAACGCAGCGAAAUGCGAUAAGUAAUGUGAAUUGCAGAAUUCAGUGAAUCAUCGAAUCUUUGAACGCACAUUGCGCCCCCUGGUAUUCCGGGGGGCAUGCCUGUUCGAGCGUCAUUUCACCACUCAAGCCUCGCUUGGUAUUGGGCAACGCGGUCCGCCGCGUGCCUCAAAUCGUCCGGCUGGGUCUUCUGUCCCCUAAGCGUUGUGGAAACUAUUCGCUAAAGGGUGUUCGGGAGGCUACGCCGUAAAACAACCCCAUUUCUAAGGUUGACCUCGGAUCAGGUAGGCAUACCCGCUGAACUUAAGCAUAUCAAUA
rnacentral:rRNA from 1 species